rnacentral:tRNA from 1 species
CAGAGAAUAGUUUAUUAAGAAUAUUAAUUUUGGGGAUUAAUGGGGAAUAAUUAUUUAUUUUUCUCUGA